rnacentral:rRNA from 1 species
GUGUCAGCAGCCGCGGUAAUACGUAGGGGGCGAGCGUUGUCCGGAAUGACUGGGCGUAAAGGGCGUGUAGGCGGCCGAUUAAGUCUGGAGUGAAAGUCCUGCUUUCAAGGUGGGAAUUGCUUUGGAGACUGGUUGGCUUGAGUGCGGAAGAGGUAAGUGGAAUUCCCAGUGUAGCGGUGAAAUGCGUAGAGAUUGGGAGGAACACCAGUGGCGAAGGCGACUUACUGGGCCGUAACUGACGCUGAGGCGCGAAAGCGUGGGGAGCAAACAGGAUUAGAUACCCUGGUAGUCCACGCUGUAAACGAUGAAUGCUAGGUGUUGCGGGCAUCGACCCCUGCAGUGCCGGAGUAAACGCAAUAAGCAUUCCGCCUGGGGAGUACGGCCGCAAGGUUGAA